AUGACAAAUAACAUUGAUAACAACUCUGUUCUAUAAAUGUGUGAUUUACAAUAUGAGCUUAAUUACUGUGGCCCAGAUAAAAGUUUCUUAUAACAAACCUAACACGGGAAAGAAGGUAGGUCAAUUAUUGCAUUGCUCCGAUGAAACUCUAUUUUUUCCUCAAUAAAUUACACUAAAAUAAAAUAAUUCUAUUAUAAAGUAAUUUUUAUUCUAAAGGUGUUAUUCUGUAAUAGAAUUAUUAUAGAGUGAAAUAUAGAUGAAUAUCACUUUUUCACUUCAAAUAUAGAGUAAAAUAUGAUAUUCCUCUAUAUUAUAGAAUAACACCAUUGGAGCAAAAAUUACUCUAUAAUAUAAUUACUUUAUUUUAGUGUAA
rnacentral:lncRNA from 1 species